ensembl:snRNA U6 U6 spliceosomal RNA
GUGCUGGUUUCGGCAGCACAGACACUAAAACGGAAACGGUAGAAAGAAGAUUAGCAUGGCCUCUUGCAAAGGUGACACACAAGUUCGUGAAGCAUAAAAAAUAAAC